rnacentral:rRNA from 1 species
UACGGAGGGUGCAAGCGUUAUCCGGAUUCACUGGGUUUAAAGGGUGCGUAGGCGGGCAGGUAAGUCAGUGGUGAAAUCUCCGAGCUUAACUCGGAAACUGCCGUUGAUAUUAUUUGUCUUGAAUAUUGUGGAGGUAAGCGGAAUAUGUCAUGUAGCGGUGAAAUGCUUAGAUAUGACAUAGAACACCAAUUGCGAAGGCAGCUUACUACACAACGAUUGACGCUGAGGCACGAAAGCGUGGGGAUCAAACAGG